rnacentral:rRNA from 1 species
UACAGAGGUCUCAAGCGUUGUUCGGAUUCAUUGGGCGUAAAGGGUGCGUAGGUGGCGGGGUAAGUCAGGUGUGAAAUCUCGGGGCUCAACCCCGAAACUGCACUUGAUACUGCCUUGCUCGAGUACUGGAGAGGAGAUUGGAAUUACGGUGUAGCAGUUGAAAUGCGUAGAUAAUCGUAAGGAAGACCAGUGGCGAAGGCGAAUCUCUGGACAGUUACUGACACUGAGGCACGAAGGCCAGGGGAGCAAACGGG